UACGUAGGGUGCAAGCGUUAAUCGGAAUUACUGGGCGUAAAGCGCGCGUAGGCGGCUCGGAAAGUCGGGCGUGAAAUGCCGGGGCUCAACCCCGGGACUGCGUCCGAUACUUCCGAGCUGGAGGUAGGUAGGGGAGAUCGGAAUUCCUGGUGCAGCGGUGAAAUGCGCAGAUAUCAGGAGGAACACCGGUGGCGAAGGCGGAUCUCUGGGCCUUACCUGACGCUGAGGCGCGAAAGCUAGGGGAGCGAACAGG
rnacentral:rRNA from 1 species